UUCAAGAAAUACAGAAACCAAAACCUCCCUUCUCUCACAUAUUCAUCCACCAAAUCGAUCAUCAAGACUUUCCUUGGUUGAUCCCCAAACAAACUCCACACGAUUGAGGUUGUUUAUAUCGUGUGCAAGUUGAAGAACUUGAGACAUUUGAUGGCCUACGGUUUGAACUUUUGAAGUCGUGUGGGACUGUUGAAUUGUUGUAUGCUAAAAGGGCUGAGGAAAUGUCCGAGAAGAUGCUUGAGGUUGGCCAUUGGAGAUGAAGUUUUGGGAGCUUUAAGGGAGAUCACAUUUGCAUAUAGGCAUCUAUAUUUUGUAGUAUUUUGGGACGUGUAUACGAUUUAUGGUUUGCUUGUGUA